rnacentral:misc_RNA from 1 species
GUUUGAUGUAAAGUUGAAGGUGAAAAUGUGAGAACUGGAAACAGUGUACAAACCCAUGAAUUUGUUGUAGUCACUGAAAAUGUGAUAUGAAAAACCUUAACUAUAACCUAGUUGGUGGAGAAUACAUGUUGCAUUAAGAUUUUCUUUUUCUUUGAUGCUUCUCUAUGCUGCAAAUCUUAAUUUUGUGGUCAAUAGUGGUAAACAUUAUUGUUUGACAUGUCUUAAGGAUUUUCUCUUCAAGCUAAACGACUCUGUUAGAGAAUAGACAACUCAAACUAAUGGUGGUGGUAUUUGCUGGCUGAUUUCCAGACUUGUGCUUAAUUUAUAUUUUCUGUUUGGACUUAAAAUGCCCUGUAUUUUUGUUUAUUUUAUUGGGUUAUUUUUGGUUUCUUCUUUUUUACAUUUUUCUUCACUCACAUUAUUGUUUUUGUUUGAAUUUCAG